rnacentral:rRNA from 2 species
GUCCAGACUCCUACGGGAGGCAGCAGUGGGGAAUAUUGCACAAUGGGCGAAAGCCUGAUGCAGCUAUACCGCGUGUAUGAAGAAGGCCUUAGGGUUGUAAAGUACUUUCGUUGGGGAGGAAAAAUAAAUAGAUAAUACCUGUUUAUCGUGACGUUACCCAAAAAAGAAGCACCGGCUAACUCCGUGCCAGCAGCCGCGGUAAUACGGAGGGUGCGAGCGUUAAUCAGAAUUACUGGGCGUAAAGAGCUCGUAGGCGGUUGUUUAAGUCAGAUGUGAAAUCCCUGGGCUUAACCUAGGAACUGCAUUUGAAACUAAAAGACUAGAGUAUCGUAGAGGGAGGUAGAAUUCUAGGUGUAGCGGUGAAAUGCGUAGAUAUCUGGAGGAAUACCUGUGGCGAAAGCGGCCUCCUAAACGAAUACUGACGCUGAGGUGCGAAAGCAUGGGGAGCAAACAGGAUUAGAUACCCUGGUAGUCCAUGCCGUAAACGAUGUCGACUUGGAGGUUGUUUCCUUGAGAAGUGACUUCCGAAGCUAACGCGUUAAGUCGACCGCCUGGGGAGUACGGUCGCAAGGCUAAAACUCAAAUGAAUUGACGGGGGCCCGCACAAGCGGUGGAGCAUGUGGUUUAAUUCGAUGCAACGCGAAAAACCUUACCUGGUCUUGACAUCCACAGAAUUUUUCAGAGAUGAAAAAGUGCCUUAGGGAACUGUGAGACAGGUGCUGCAUGGCUGUCGUCAGCUCGUGUUGUGAAAUGUUGGGUUAAGUCCCGCAACGAGCGCAACCCUUAUCCUCUGUUGCCAUUGGUUCGGCCAGGAACUCAGAGGAGACUGCCGGUUAUAAACCGGAGGAAGGCGGGGACGACGUCAAGUCAUCAUGGCCCUUACGACCAGGGCUACACACGUGCUACAAUGGUGUAUACAAAGAGAAGCAACUCUGCAAAGACAAGCAAACCUCAUAAAGUACAUCGUAGUCCGGACUGGAGUCUGCAACUCGACUCACA